rnacentral:pre_miRNA from 1 species
CUGUGAAUCAUCUGAAGAUGCUGUUAAAAUGCAAAAUAUGAGUCAGCAGGGCUGGGGCCUGAGAUUCUGCAUUUCUCUCAAGCUUCUAGAUGAUGCCCUU